rnacentral:rRNA from 1 species
GUAGGGUGCGAGCGUUAAUCGGAAUUACUGGGCGUAAAGCGUGCGCAGGCGGUUUUGUAAGACAGGCGUGAAAUCCCCGGGCUCAACCUGGGAAUUGCGCUUGUGACUGCAAGGCUAGAGUGCGUCAGAGGGGGGUAGAAUUCCACGUGUAGCAGUGAAAUGCGUAGAGAUGUGGAGGAAUACCGAUGGCGAAGGCAGCCCCCUGGGACGUGACUGACGCUCAUGCACGAAAGCGUGGGGAGCAAACAGGAUUAGAUACCCUGGUAGUCCACGCCCUAAACGAUGUCAACUAGUUGUUGGGGAUUCAUUUCCUCAGUAACGUAGCUAACGCGUGAAGUUGACCGCCUGGGGAGUACGGUCGCAAGAUUAAA